GUUUGCAUCCUACAAAUAGCCAUGCUUUUCCAUUGUUACUUUGCAAAGUAUUGCCAGUUUCACUGCCUUGUCAAGUGUUAUUCUCAUUGCCUGUUUAUUGCCUACUUGUUAUAACCAUUGUGCCUGCUUUACUGGAUUACUGAUUUUGGAUUACUGUUUUGCACUGUUUGCCUGGUUGGACUGAUUACCUGUGAAAUGACUACUUUGCCUGCUUCAACGAUUACGUCUCUGCCUUGUAGCAUGGAUUUGUCUGAUGAUUGUAAUAUACUUCUUGCAUAUGGAUUCUACCUUUGCCUCCAUGUCGAGUCCAUUACAGAUUAUGUGCCUGAUGACAAGGAUCUGUGGUAUCAGUCCCAUGGUAUCAGUCACAAAACAACUGGCUCACUGAAAUGGAAUGAGACCCUGUGAAGUCGCAGAUGAAAGCUAAUGGACAUCUCAAGGCAUUCAGAGCAGCACACAGAUUAGCCCUGAGGUCAAACUGGAAGAGGGAAGACAUUCUCAUAUAAUUAAAGUUCACAAAUGGAUGGAUGGAUUUUAAUACAUUAAAGGAAUAUUUCAUCUUAAAAUAAAAAUGUUGUCAUCAUUUACUCAUCCUCAUGUCUUUCCAAACUCCUGUGACUGACUGACUGACUUCUGUGGACACAAAAGGAGUUUAUAGCAAUUUCCAGCAGUAAUGUUCUGCUGGUCCCCUUCCAAUUUCAUUGUGCUACUUCCAAUUUUACAUUGUGUCCUGUCACCUUGUCAGGUUGGGUUUUGUCUGACGAGGACCAUGGCAUCAUCGUCCCCUGUCUGUCUUGUGUUUCACGUCCAGGGCGUGGUGUCUGGAUCCUGACUUCCUGUCUGGUUCGGUUUUGGUCUGUGUCGGGAUCUGGACACUCAUGCUCCAUGUCAUGUUUGUUUUGUUCCAUGCAUGUUGUUUUCGCCCUCAUGUGUUUCAGGUGCCGCUGGCACGCAGAAUCAGCAUUUCUAUGGGAACCCUGAUUGUUUAAAUGGGAACGCUGAUCAUGCCAACUUUCAGCUGCACCUGUCCCUUGUUUGUUCUUGCCUAUACUAAUCCUCUCGUGUGUCAUGUCCUUGGCUGGAUUGUCUGAUUUAAUGUUAAAUGUGGUUCAGUCACUGUGGAUGUCGAGGAAUAGAUUUGUGGAAUCCUUUGUUGAAGCUUAGUGAGGUGCAGAAUGACACCCAGCAGGUCUU